rnacentral:lncRNA from 1 species
GUUGAUGGAUAAGACGGUAUAAUCCCAAAGGUGACCAAAUCUAUUAGAGAAUUACUCCAAGUUGGGGUGAAAACUUCUUGCAUUUCAGAAGUUCGAUGGUAUUGAGAAGGUGAAUCACAGUAGCUAACUCAAUGCAAGGAGUGCAAACACUUCGAGUACUUCAGAAGUGUGAGCAAAGAGUAGGCGAAGGUUAGUAACCAGCUCAAUGUAUGGAGUACAACCCUUGAGGAGGCAGACGAAGUUAAGUAACCAU